rnacentral:rRNA from 1 species
AUUGAACGCUGGCGGCAGGCCUAACACAUGCAAGUCGAACGAGUGGCGGACGGGUGAGUAAUGUCUGGGAAACUGCCUGAUGGAGGGUGAUAACUACUGGAAACGGUAGCUAAUACCGCAUACCAUCGGAUGUGCCCAGCUGGGUUUAGCUAGUAGGUGGGGUAAAGGCUCACCUAGCCGACGAUCCCUAGCUGGUCUGGGAGGAGGACCAGCCACACUGGAACUGGGACACGGUCCAGACUCCUACGGGAGGCAGCAGUGGGGAAUAUUGCACAAUGAGCGCAAGCCUGAUGAAGCCAUGCCGCGUGUAUGAAGAAGGCCUUCGGGUUGUAAAGUACUUUCAGCGGGGAGGCGUUACCCGAAGAAGAAGCACCGGCUAACUCCGUGCCAGCAGCCGCGGUAAUUC